GAUGAACGCUAGCGGGAGGCCUAACACAUGCAAGCCGAGCGGUAUUUGUUCUUCGGAACAGAGAGAGCGGCGCACGGGUGCGGAACACGUGUGCAACCUGCCUUUAUCUGGGGGAUAGCCUUUCGAAAGGAAGAUUAAUACCCCAUAAUAUAUUGAGUGGCAUCACUUGAUAUUGAAAACUCCGGUGGCUAGAGAUGGGCACGCGCAAGAUUAGAUAGUUGGUGAGGUAACGGCUCACCAAGUCAAUGAUCUUUAGGGGGCCUGAGAGGGUGAUCCCCCACACUGGUACUGAGACACGGACCAGACUCCUACGGGAGGCAGCAGUGAGGAAUAUUGGACAAUGGGUUAGCGCCUGAUCCAGCCAUCCCGCGUGAAGGACGACGGCCCUAUGGGUUGUAAACUUCUUCUGUAUAGGGAUAAACCUACUCUCGUGAGAGUAGCUGAAGGUACUAUACGAAUAAGCACCGGCUAACUCCGUG
rnacentral:rRNA from 1 species